rnacentral:rRNA from 1 species
GAUGAACGCUGGCGGCGUGCCUAACACAUGCAAGUCGAACGAAGCACCUUUUAAGAUUCUUCGGAUGAUUGAUUGGUGACUGAGUGGCGGACGGGUGAGAACGCGUGGGUAACCUGCCCUGUACAGGGGGAUAACAGUUGGAAACGGCUGCUAAUACCGCAUAAGCGCACGAGAGGACAUCCUCUUGUGUGAAAAACUCCGGUGGUACAGGAUGGGCCCGCGUCUGAUUAGCUGGUUGGUAGGGUAACGGCCUACCAAGGCGACGAUCAGUAGCCGGUCUGAGAGGAUGAACGGCCACAUUGGAACUGAGACACGGUCCAAACUCCUACGGGAGGCAGCAGUGGGGAAUAUUGCACAAUGGGGGAAACCCUGAUGCAGCAACGCCGCGUGAGUGAAGAAGUAUUUCGGUAUGUAAAGCUCUAUCAGCAGGGAAGAUAAUGACGGUACCUGACUAAGAAGCUCCGGCUAAAUACGUGCCAGCCGCCGCGGUAA